UUACCCUUGGGGACCCAGUGAUGGGCUGGGGAGACAGCUGCUAAUGCAGAAGAGCCAGGUUAAGGUCAGGAUUCCCAACCUAACUGAUGGUGGAUGGCAAGCCUAGUGGAGACAGCAUGUCUAGUGCCCUCCUGUCACACUGCCAGGGUAAGAGGGUUCCUGCUCUCCCAAGGACCUGUAUGCUUAGAGGUGCUUCAGCAUCACUCUCCAAAUGACCUGGCUACUCCCCAAACACACACACACACACACACACACACACUGCUAUUCUCCACCUAUCCUGUUCCGGCCAAAAUGCCAGGGAGCUAGAUGCUGGAGCCUCCAGACUACCAGGGCUCCUUGUGGCAAACAGGUCCUGUCUGCUCUGGCUGCAUCUCUCUUGUUCAGGCUUUACAUCUGGGCCUAAGACACCAGAGGAAGAGGAAGUUUCCUCUGAUGGACACUAAUGGGCUAAGGCCCAGCAUGUCUGGACACCAGGACUAAAGUACCUUUGGAGAAAAUUGUGGAGACAUUUUUUACUAGGGCUUGAGACAAUCUAAUACCUCUAUAUUCCUGUGUGGGUUGGAACCAAGAAAGCAGCUUUGCUGGAGACUGAACAAUUGACUAGCAUGGUCUCCCUUGUAUCUAAUUCCUAAAAAUACCUCUCCAGAGGCAUUAACUAUAUUCCACCUUUUCUGUAGUUAUUAGUGUGCCCAUUAGAUGGCAAGUUGUCAGAGACUGGAAAAGAUCCUGUCUCUGGAUCCCUCUUGUGCCUCAUAGAGCAUGGAACUCAGCUGACCUGCUGACUGCAUGGAUGGAUGGAUGGAUGAGUGGGUGGGUGGGUAGAUGGAUGGAGAGUUGGGUGAAUGGAUUCAUGGAGAGCUGGAUGGACAGGUAGAUAGGCACACAGGCAAACAUACAGGCAAGAGGGCUGGAUGCUGUGUGAGCUCCAUUACCUUAUUUACUCCCUCUCAUAGGUCAUGUGCCUUUUGUGAACAACAGCUGUGCCACAGCAAAAAAUGAUGCUUAGAGCUCUUGCCUAGGCAAAGGGAGUAAGGGUCCAGCUCUAGAGACAGAGCACUGUAAAGUGUGUCAUAACUAAAGAUUUGAGAAAACAAUUCUGAUGGCAUUACUUAAGAGAGCCUUGGCCUUGCUGGGCCAUCUGGGAAGUACCAGGGAAGACAGAUAAGCUGGAGUCUCCCAGGUCAUUUAGACCCCCACAAGGCAGGGUUGGCUGUACUAAAGAGCUAGUAGAACUAGUAGAGCUAGUGUAGAAGCAAGUGUGAGACUGUGUCAGGAGAGCUGACCCGGAAGAGAAACACCUGCUCUCACAGAACUGUGCUUAAGGUAUGCUUAAGGUGGAGCAGGAUUCACUUAGACAAGUCAGAUGUUGUUCAAGAGGUGGCAUAGGUCCUAAAAGCUUCUGAGGACUGCCUCCCUUUGCUCAAAACAGAACAUUCCGGUAAGCAGUGUUUCUCCAAGAGGAGUCUGCAGAUUACCCAUAUCAAAAAUCACCUGCAGGACUUAACAGUGUAUCCAGACCCACUGGCACAAAUUCUAUGGAGAUAAUGGCUGGGAAUCUGCCCUUGUCACAAGUUCUUCGUGUGAUUUCUAAGCAUGUUCAAGUUGAAAUCCUGCUCCCCAAAUACUGAACUAUAGACCCUACCCCAAUACCCUAUCAUGAGAGAGCAGGGUGUCUCAACUAGGAGACAAACUCCACUGGGACUUUGCCUCCUUCCUCACAGCCAGCUCUCCCUGGAGUCUGCUGCCCUUCCCAAGGGCCCAACUGGCCCCACCCCAACCCCCAGGACCAGGGAGAGAGAAGCUUUGAGAGAGGUCCUCAGAGGAAUGGCACACUGCCCUGUGACAAACACAGUGGCCCUAACAUCCUUCCCCUCUGCCCCCAUCCAGAAGCAAUUCACAACACUCUUAAGUGGUCAGGGAUGCCCUACAGUGACUUCAGGGGGCUCAGAAGCCUAAGACCUUUGUUUACCUCACUCCUUUUGUUCUCACUUCUGGAAGCUGAUUGUGUCCUAUACAGGUGAGAACAACCCGGCUCAUGUGGCCUAGUCCACUUCUUUCUAAAAUCAGGUCCAGUUUCUCUUUAGAUCUCCAUUUGGGGUGUGGGUAUCUUUUCAUCUUUUCAUCCAUUCAUUCAUGCUUACUAGCCCGACACUCAAUGCCUAGUACUGAGUGCUCAACAUCUAGCUUACUUGAGUAGGUUUCUUAACUUCUGAACCUGUUUCCUGUUCUGUAAAAUGAGAGUGAUCCUAAGUUCCCACUUCAUACAUUUUGUGAGGAAUUAACAGUAAUGUAUGUGAAAGUGCCUGGCACAUUGUAGGUGCUCAGUAAAUGUCAAUCCUCUUUGUACUCUUCCAGGUGCUUUGGAAGGCAAGAGAUGUGCAAGCCAUUGGUUUGCCUUUGUUGUAUUCACAAUUCACUUGGAGAAAUCAGUUCUCAAAUAAUAACAAUAGGAGGUUGUCCUGGGUGUGUUUAAGUGCAGUCAGUGGUGAGAAAGGAAGAGGUCAUCUGAGGCUGAGGCAGGCUUCCCAUGACCUCUGGAAGGUACAGUUUGUAAACCUUGGACACCUAUCAGCUGAGUUGUAUUUCCUCAUCUAUAAAAGGGAAUGAUCACACCUGCCCUGCCCACCUCACAGGAAUGCCACGAGGCUCAAAACAAAUAAUGAAUGUGGGGAAUCUAAAAUCAGUAAAAUGUUAUGGAAUAGUUCAUUCAAACGUAAGAGGCAGGGCUGGGGAUGUGGCUCUGUGGUAGAGCACUUACCUAGCAUGCAUAAGGCCCUGGAUUCCAUCCCCAACACCAAAAAUAAACUUGAGAUGGGAUGGAAAUGAUAAAGGGGAGGUGUAUUUUGCAGUGGGGAGAGGCCCCCCUGUAGGAGGAACAAGUGAGAAAAUGUGUCCUAUACCCCAGGACUCUCAAAGGGCCAACCUGACCUACAGUUGGUUUUCAAAGAGAAAGGGAGGUCAGACGCAAGCCCUGAGCAGGAAUAGAACUGUUCCAACGAGACUCCUUCCCCUAAUUAACAGUAACAGCCAUCAAGAACUUGGAAUAUUACAGACUCCACUGAGUAUGAGUAAAGAACUGGUGGGGAAGAACAUGAAUUCUGAACAACCCCCUCCCCGUGCCUGUGCAGGCACCAACAAAAUGCCAGUCUGUGGGGUACAGCACAGCACUAGGACAAUGAGGGUCUGCCCAGAGGCUUCACCUUCGGCUAAAAAUGCAGACAGGUGGGACUUUGGACUUGAAUGCUGCCCUGCAGCAAGUGGUGGUUCUCCAGGGAGAGCAGCUGAGGAUGGCAGGACUGCCCAAGAGCUCCUAGGUGAGAGAGAAGCUGACCUUCCUCUCUCAUCCCUUACUCCUGUUGACUUGGCCACAUUGGACUGCAUCCCUGCUGGCUAGUCCAGCUUGGCAGCUUGAGACCCUGGGGCCCAUCCUCACCCAUACCCACCCCAGGCUCACUCAGCUUCCCUGAGGAGAUCAGAAUUCCAGAGGACUUGAAUCUGUGCUGCCAGCACAGGAAGGUCACUCAGGGAAAGCAUUAAUGGAGAGUUCUCACAGCCAGGGAGGGCCAGUACUAGCUGCUGAGAAGGAAAGGGCAGCUAGUUUGUGGUUUGAUUAGAAUCAGCAAGAUGCUGAUGUCUCCAUUCCUUGAAGACUGGCUGUGGGCUGUGACCUGGUUGGUGGCCUUAGCACUGCCAAACCCAGGUUUGAUUUCUCAGUCAGUGACCAGAACCAUCCAUCCUCCCUGCCUUUUCCUCUGCCCCUACCCCAUGACAUCUUCAGGAGUUAAUGUGGUGCUGGGGUGGGGCUCAGCAAUGCAGAAGUUAAUCCAAGCCUGGCAAAAUGUUCCCUGCCCCUGGGGGAGCCGCUCCACUGACCAUCGGCUUUAGAAAUAAACAUCAGGUUCAAAGCCCA